rnacentral:lncRNA from 1 species
AUGAUGGAUAUGAAACUCAAUGAAGGAGACGGAUCGGCCGCAAAUUCCACGUGGCAGCUGGAGAGAAGCCCCAAACCUCUCAAAAAUGACCUGACUAUUAAGUGUGGCCGCCUGCUUCUCUGGUCAGCGAGACGGCGGCGACAGAACGGUUGGCGCAGACUGAGUGGAGUGGCUGCUUCCUUCAGGCCCCAGCGAGGCUCCACGACCAGAUGUCUGGUUCGAAGCCACAGAGUUCCUCCGGCGUCUCGUUGAAAGCGAGUCCCAAGGCACUUCUGAGCCGAACACAGACGGUCUGUGGACUUGAAGCCCAGUCCAGGAUCCACCUGUGACCUCAUUCCAACCACCGUUCCUCUGUUGCAGAUACACACCAGUGCAGCAAAUGUAUGUUAAUCCACUGCUGGAAUACACUGAAUAAUCCAGAUGCACUAUUUACUCUUAACAUUCGCUGGAAACUAAAGUGUCCAGCUGUGUGAGGAAACAGCUGAUCCCUUCAUAACAUCUGUGACCAAAGAGAUAAACAGAUUGUAUAUGACAUGUAUAUGAUGGGGGGGCACAUUUUGCUUCCUCGCUUUCCUCAACUGCACCGCUGACACCGCGUCAUAUAAAUUGAUGGGAUCUGGUGAAGCCGUGGUUUCGGGGUUGUGCUUUGUUUAGACGCUCCGCUGUGACUGACUGGUUGUUUCAGCCCCAUCAACACGUGACAAACGUCAGGAGGCCGAGACAGCUCAGACUGAGAAUUCCUUCACGUUGGGUAAUGAACUGGCUGCUUUGGUUUUUCCCUGGAGUCAAGAUGCUGCCGGUCGGCUGUUGCUGCCCAGCCGUCGCCGUCGCUCUGUCACAGUGAAUCUGCAUUGAGCCCAGCUUGGCUCCUCAGCGUUCCCCCGUCGCCCCUCCGGCCUUCGUUUGUCUGCGUCUAGCACAGCAGGGGGCCACUGACACUGAAUGGCCACUGUUACUAGUCCCUGGUAGUUUAAACAUCCAGAGCGAGGGCUGAUGCCAGUGUCCCAACGGGCUCAGCAUCACAAUGUGAGCAUGCUGACCUCAAGGUCACGGUGAUGGAGCAUGUUUGGGCCGGGUCUGCAGUGGUGCUGCAGCAGACCGAUGCCACAGAUCCAGCCUGACACAGCUGGGCUGAUGGAGUUGGAUGUGUAAAAAGCAAAUAUUUGCUAAUUAGCACUAAACAAAGAGCGACUAUAUUCUAAAGAUAAAUCAGUGUAUAGGGGAAUUAUCAUAAUCAUUACACUUUAUUAUCAGUCAGUUUGUACAGAAUUGCUGAAUUAAUAAUAAAUAGUACUUAUAUAAGAUUUGAUCA